AGGUAAUAGUCCUGUAUGUUAAACGAGAAGACUUUAGAUAUGAUCCAGAGUACCACGGGACACGUGAAACCCUGUGGGAAGCAGGAGGGACCACCCUCCAAGGCUAAAUACUACCUAGUGACCGAUAGCGUAUAGUACCGUGAGGGAAAGGUGAAAAGAACCCCGGGAGGGGAGUGAAAUAGAACCUGAAACCCUGCACUUACAAGCUGUGGAAGCACAUUUCUUGUGUGACCGCGUACUUUUUGUAGAACGGGCCAACGAGUUACGUUAAGUAGCAAGGUUAAGCACUUAAGGUGUGGAGCCGUAGCGAAAGCGAGUUUUAACUGAGCGUUCAGUUACUUGACGUAGACCCGAAACCGGGCGACCUACCCAUGAGCAGGAUGAAGCGAAAGUAAAAUUUCGUGGAGGUCCGAACCCACGAGCGUUGAAAAGCUCGGGGAUGACUUGUGGGUAGCGGUGAAAUUCCAAUCGAGCCCGGAGAUAGCUGGUUCUCCCCGAAAUAGCUUUAGGGCUAGCCUCAAGGUGAGAGAUACGGAGGUAGAGCACUGAAUGUCCUAGGGG
rnacentral:rRNA from 1 species